GAUUUUGUUGGAGGUCUGAUUACC
rnacentral:piRNA from 1 species